rnacentral:rRNA from 1 species
AACGAACGCUGGCGGCAGGCUUAACACAUGCAAGUCGAACGGGCGUAGCAAUACGUCAGUGGCAGACGGGUGAGUAACACGUGGGAACCUUCCUAGGGGUACGGAACAACUCAGGGAAACUUGAGCUAAUACCGUAUACGUCCGUGAGGAGAAAGAUUUAUCGCCCUUAGACGGGCCCGCGUCGGAUUAGCUAGUUGGUGGGUAACGGCCUACCAAGGCGACGAUCCGUAGCUGAUCUGAGAGGAUGAUCAGCCACACUGGGACUGAGACACGGCCCAGACUCCUACGGGAGGCAGCAGUGGGGAAUCUUGGACAAUGGGCGCAAGCCUGAUCCAGCCAUGCCGCGUGAGUGAAGAAGGCCUUCGGGUUGUUAAAGCUCUAUUGUCGGGACGGAUAAUGACGGUACCUGAAGAAUAAGCCCGGCAACUUACGUGCCAGCAGCCGCGGUAAU